UCCCUUAGUAACGGCGAGUGAAACGGGAGAAGCCCAGCCCCGAAUCCCGCGGUCGYAUGAUCGUCGGGAAAUGUAGGGUUUGGGAGUGUCUAUGCGGUAGUUGUGUGUUGCCCAGGUUCUCCUGAUUGAGGCUUGACCCAUAGCGGGUGUAAGGCCCAUACGGCGAUGCAUGCUACUGCUCUGGCGCUCCUUGGAGUCGGGUAGUUUGAGAAUGCUGCCCAAAGUGGGAGGUAAAUUCCUUCUAAGGCUAAAUACUGGCACGAGUCCGAUAGUAAACAAGUACCGUGAGGGAAAGUUGAAAAGAACUUUGAAGAGAGAGUUGGAUAGUACGUGAAACCGCUUACAGGUAAACGGAACGGACCACAAAAGUCAUCCGCGGGUAUUCAGCCUGUGCCGCGUAUCUUGUGGGGCAUUUGUGAGACCUCGUGUCCACGGUGUUCUCGAGUGUGCGUGGUGCGGGUGCACUUGCCCGCGUUGAUGAGCCCUUCAACUGUGUGUCGAGCAGUUAGACGCCUCCUUGCAAGGUAGCCCUCGGUUUCGGCCGAGAGAACUUAUAGGCUUGGUUGUUGUCAACCUGUUUGGUGCAUGACGGACUGAACCGUCCAUGAUGGCCCUUUACGCUGUGAGGUGUUGACUGGCGAGGACUGCUUGCAGUGCUCUGCCGACUUUCAUCGUGCAGGUCAGUGGGGGUGUCCUGAUUGGAUUGUAAGGUUCGAAGGGAUUCUGUUGGCACCCGAUCCGACCCGUCUUGAAACACGGACCAAGGAGUCUGGCGUGUGCGCAAGUCAAAGGGCCUUACGAACCCCCAUGGCGAAACUAACAUAAAGGAGUGGCUUGUCCAUUUCUGAGGUACGAUCCGGCGGUCACCAUGCCGCUGGCGCAGUACCGGCCCGUCUUGAGACCUUUGUGUCUGAGGCGGAGCUUGAGCGUACACGCCGGGACCCGAAAGAUGGUGAACUAUGCUUGAGUAGG
rnacentral:rRNA from 1 species